rfam:Myotis brandtii contig298961, whole genome shotgun sequence.
GGCCUCCCUUUGUGGGGCGAUUGAUUGUGGGGGCCCCCAGAUCAAUCGCCCCACAGAGGGAGGCC